AUUGAACGCUGGCGGGAUGUUUUACACAUGCAAGUCGAACGAGUGGCGGACGGGUGAGUAAUCUAUCGGAACGUGCCCAGUAGCGGGGGAUAACUACUCGAAAGAGUGGCUAAUGCCGCAUACUAUAGGAGCGGCCGCUAGCGGAUUAGCUAGUUGGUGGGGUAAAGGCUCACCAAGGCAACGAUCCGUAGCUGGUGUGAGAGGACGACCAGCCAAACUGGGACUGAGACACGGCCCAGACUCCUACGAGAGGCAGCAGUGGGGAAGUGUGGACAAUGAGGGAAACCCUGAUCCAGCCAUCACGAGUGUAUGAGAAGUCCUUCGGGUUGUAAAGUACUUUUGGAAGAGAAGCGGUAUCUGCGGAAUAAUCACCGGCUAACUACGUGCCAGCCGCCGCGGUAAUUC
rnacentral:rRNA from 1 species